AGAGACAGCAGUCGCCGCGGUAAUACAGAGGGUGCGAGCGUUAAUCGGAUUUACUGGGCGUAAAGCGUGCGUAGGCGGCUAAUUGAGUCGGAUGUGAAAUCCCCGAGCUUAACUUGGGAAUUGCAUUCGAUACUGGUUAGCUAGAGUGUGGGAGAGGAUGGUAGAAUUCCAGGUGUAGCGGUGAAAUGCGUAGAGAUCUGGAGGAAUACCGAUGGCGAAGGCAGCCAUCUGGCCUAACACUGACGCUGAGGUACGAAAGCAUGGGGAGCAAACAGGAUUAGAUACCCGAGUAGUCCCUGUCUCUUAUAC
rnacentral:rRNA from 1 species